AUCAGGCGGAUACCUGUGCAAUGUUGCC
rnacentral:sRNA from 1 species